rnacentral:rRNA from 1 species
GACGAACGCUGGCGGCGUGCUUAACACAUGCAAGUCGUACGGUAAGGCCCUUUCUGGGUUACCUGAGUGGCGAACGGGUGAGUAACACGUGAGUAACCUGCCUACACUUUUGUUUUAUCGCUAUUAAACUGGUGCUAAUUCUGGAUAUGUGGUCCUGCUGCAUGGUUGGGGUUGGUUAGCUCCUGGGGUCGUGGAUGGAUUCGCGGGCUAAUAGCUUGUUGGUGGGUUAGUGGGCUACCAAGGCGGCCACGGGUAGCCCGCCUGAGGGGGUGAGCGGCCGAAAUGGGGAUUGAGAAAGGCCCAAGCUCCUAAGGGAGGGAAGAGGGGGGAAGAAUGCACAAGGGGGGCAAGGCUGGUGCAGCAACGCCGCGGGCGGGAUGACGGGCUUCGGGGUGGAAAACGGUUUCAGCAGGGAAGAAGCCUUUUGUGACGGUACCUGCAGAAGAAGCACCGGCUAACUACGUG